UGGGGGAUCGUCCAAUGGCAGGACAUCGGCCUUUGGAGCCGAGUAUUGAGGUUCGAAUCCUCAUCCCCCAGCCA
rnacentral:tRNA from 1 species